rnacentral:tRNA from 1 species
GCCUGGGUGGCUCAGUCGGUUGAGUGUCCGACUUCGGCUCAGGUCGUGAUCUCACAGAUUGCGGGUUUGAGCCCCGCGUCGGGCU